GGGGUUGUAGCUCAGUGGCAGAGUGUCUGGCUUGCAUGCAGAAGGUCCCAGGUUCAAUCCCCGGCAACUCCA